CGGUAGUAGUCAGGUGGUAGGGGACUUCCACCUGAAGACAGUGUUACCUGCUUCUGGAAGACCGGCAGCACGAAUUUAGAGCUUUGGAUGUGAAAGCGAACAGCCAAGUGGCCAUUGAAGUGAUGGAUUCGCAUUGAUGGGAUUACCAAGAUGUCUGCUGGAUGGGGAGACUGGCCUAAAUGUAAUUCAGUCUGCUUCUUAUCUGGUCUUAUUUGAUCCCUCCACCUCAGCCCUCCUCCUGCUCUUGUGUAAGGUGCAACCAGCUGUGGAGAUUCACCUGACCAAUGACCAUCCAGCUGACCGGUGAUAAUCUAUACCUCCCUGAGAUAACAACCUACUGGAAUAAUUGGUCCAGACUCCCAAUUAGGCUUCCUUUGGGAGGCUGAGAGAGGGAGUGAUGGAAGGAGAGAGUUCGAAACAAAGGGGAGAAAUGAGCUUGAGGAGGUCUAAAUCAACCUGCUUCAUUGCUUGGUCCAAUUUUCACUCUUCUGUUCCCGUUGUUGUCAGCUCCUGUGGAGUAGAUGUAUAGAGGCGAGUACAGAUCAAUCUUUUGGUCAAACUGUGUUAGUGAAUAGUAGUUUUGAAAUGUGACUGAAAAGUACCUCAGCAUGUUGCCUUUCUGAAAUAUGCUGUUUGUGUGGAUCAGAGCAAACACUGUAUAAUUACAUAUAACCCACAGUCUUCUGCAUUCAGGAGGAGGAAAUGUGGUGUGUUUUUUUUUUUUUUUUUUUUUUUUUAAAAAACAAAAACAACAAACAUCUGUGUGGCUUUAGGACUGGGAUUGCAGGGAUUGAAUAUGCAGUGGAAACGAACUGUGAGGUAUCAUACUGAUCCUUGAUUUAAUCAGCUGACUGUUUAGGCUUAUGUUCAACAGUUAUGGGGCAACACUAUGGUAUGGCAUUGUUUAAUAAGAAAUAACACAAGGCUAUUUAGUCUGUUUAAUUAAAGAACAAGGUAUAGACCUGUUGUAAUUGACUUAUGUUAUGAGAAAAUAAAUUUAAAUAAAGUGAACUUGACCUUCAAGGGGGGUGACAUAAUGUUAGUGGAAACAAUGCUUGACUGGCUGUGAAACAACACCCUGAGGUGUGACUAUGCUGUUAUGGUCAUUAUGAAGUCAUUAUGGGUAACUAGCAUCAGAGGUGAUUCUGGAGUCUAUUGGAGCUCUAGCAGGAAUUUCCACACUAGACUUGGUUAAGAAAGAGGCUGGACACAAUGUACUAAUGUUAAACACCAAAGAAAGAACAAACCAAAUAAUGUGAUGCUAGAAGAAGUUUAAAUGUUUAUUAAAACAUUUGAUUUAAAUGUCUCUCCCCUCAUAGUUAAGGCUGGACUAACAUCAGUCAUUUUGUAUGUAGUAUUAUUGUU